rnacentral:rRNA from 1 species
GGUUAAGUGAAUAAGGGCGCACGGUGGAUGCCUUGGCACUAGGAGCCGAUGAAGGACGGGACUAACACCGAUAUGCUUUGGGGAGCUGUAAGUAAGCUAUGAUCCAGAGAUUUCCGAAUGGGGAAACCCAAUAUCUUUUAUAGGAUAUUACUUUUCAGUGAAUACAUAGCUGAUUAGAGGUAGACGCAGAGAACUGAAACAUCUUAGUACCUGCAGGAAGAGAAAGAAAAUUCGAUUCCCUGAGUAGCGGCGAGCGAAACGGGAAGAGCCCAAACCAACAAGCUUGCUUGUUGGGGUUGUAGGACUCCAAUAUGGUAGUCUGUUAGUAUAGUUGAAGGAUUUGGAAAAUUCCGCUAAAGAGGGUGAAAGCCCCGUAGACGAAAUGCUAAUAACACCUAGGAGGAUCCUGAGUACGGCGGAACACGAGAAAUUCCGUCGGAAUCCGCGGGGACCAUCCCGCAAGGCUAAAUACUCCCUAGUGACCGAUAGUGAACCAGUACCGUGAGGGAAAGGUGAAAAGCACCCCGGAAGGGGAGUGAAAUAGAUCCUGAAACCGUGUGCCUACAACAAGUCAAAGCUCGUUAAUGAGUGAUGGCGUGCCUUUUGUAGAAUGAACCGGCGAGUUACGAUUGCAUGCGAGGUUAAGUCGAAGAGACGGAGCCGCAGCGAAAGCGAGUCUGAAUAGGGCGAAUGAGUAUGUAGUCGUAGACCCGAAACCAUGUGAUCUACCCAUGUCCAGGUUGAAGGUGCGGUAAAACGCACUGGAGGACCGAACCCACGUACGUUGAAAAGUGCGGGGAUGAGGUGUGGGUAGCGGAGAAAUUCCAAACGAACUUGGAGAUAGCUGGUUCUCUCCGAAAUAGCUUUAGGGCUAGCCUCGGAAUUGAGAAUGAUGGAGGUAGAGCACUGUUUGGACUAGGGGCCCAUCUCGGGUUACCGAAUUCAGAUAAACUCCGAAUGCCAUUCAUUUAUAUCCGGGAGUCAGACUGCGAGUGAUAAGAUCCGUAGUCGAAAGGGAAACAGCCCAGACCACCAGCUAAGGUCCCAAAAUAUAUGUUAAGUGGAAAAGGAUGUGGGGUUGCACAGACAACUAGGAUGUUGGCUUAGAAGCAGCCACCAUUUAAAGAGUGCGUAAUAGCUCACUAGUCGAGUGACCCUGCGCCGAAAAUGUACCGGGGCUAAACAUAUUACCGAAGCUGUGGACUACACCAUUAGGUGUAGUGGUAGGAGAGCGUUCUAAGGGCGUUGAAGGUCGAUCGUGAGGACGGCUGGAGCGCUUAGAAGUGAGAAUGCCGGUAUGAGUAGCGAAAGACAGGUGAGAAUCCUGUCCACCGUAUGACUAAGGUUUCCUGGGGAAGGCUCGUCCGCCCAGGGUUAGUCGGGACCUAAGCCGAGGCCGAUAGGCGUAGGCGAUGGACAACAGGUUGAUAUUCCUGUACCAGUUGUUUUUGUUUGAACAAUGGAGGGACGCAGUAGGCUAAGGAAUGCAUGCGAUUGGAAGUGCAUGUCCAAGCAAUGAGUCUUGAGUAGAGUUAAAUGCUUUACUCUCUAAGGACAAGUUGUGACGGGGAGCGAAAUAAUAGUAGCGAAGUUCCUGAUGUCACACUGCCAAGAAAAGCUUCUAGUGAGAAAACAACUGCCCGUACCGUAAACCGACACAGGUAGUCGAGGAGAGUAUCCUAAGGUGAGCGAGCGAACUCUCGUUAAGGAACUCGGCAAAAUGACCCCGUAACUUCGGGAGAAGGGGUGCUGACUUCGGUCAGCCGCAGUGAAUAGGCCCAAGCGACUGUUUAUCAAAAACACAGGUCUCUGCAAAAUCGUAAGAUGAAGUAUAGGGGCUGACGCCUGCCCGGUGCUGGAAGGUUAAGAGGAUGGGUUAGCUUCGGCGAAGCUCAGAAUUGAAGCCCCAGUAAACGGCGGCCGUAACUAUAACGGUCCUAAGGUAGCGAAAUUCCUUGUCGGGUAAGUUCCGACCCGCACGAAAGGCGUAACGAUUUGG